UGAAUACGAGAUGCUACGGCGUCGAAGCAGUCUAUGUCAUACUUCCAAGAAAAGCUUGCACUGUCAUAAACAAAUAAUGCCUGUACCAUAACCGACACAGGUGGGUAGGUAGAGUAUACUAAGGGGCGCGAGAUAACUCUCUCUAAGGAACUCGGCAAAAUGACUCCGUAACUUCGGGAGAAGGAGUGCCUUAUUUAUAAGGUUGCAAUAACAAGAUCCAAGCAACUGUUUACCAAAAACACAGGUCUCCGCUAAGUCGUAAGACGAUGUAUGGGGGCUGACGCCUGCCCAGUGCCAGAAGGUUAAAGAAGUUGGUUAGCAUCCGCGAAGCUGAUAACUGAAGCCCUGGUGAACGGCGGCCGUAACAAUAACGGUCCUAAGGUAGCGAAAUUCCUUGUCGGGUAAGUUCCGACCCGCACGAAAGGCGUAAUGAUUUGGAUACUGUCUCGGAGAGGGGCUCGGUGAAAUAGACUUGUCUGUGAAGAUGCGGACUACCUGCACCAGGACAGAAAGACCCUAUGAAGCUUUUACUGUAACCUGAAAUUGAAAUUGGACUUUACUUGCGCAGUAUAGGUGGGAGGCGUUGAGAAUAUUCUUGCGGGAUUAUUGGAGCCAUCAGUGAGAUACCACUCUUGUAAUGUUAGAUUUCUAACUUUGUAUCAUUAUCUGGUCAAAGAACAGUUUCAGGCGGGCAGUUUGACUGGGGCGGUCGCCUCCUAAACGGUAACGGAGGCGCACAAAGGUUUCCUCUGAACGGGUAGAAAUCGUAUCUAGAGUGUAAAGGCAUAAGGAAGCUUGACUGUGAGACCUACAAGUCGAGCAGGGACGAAAGUCGGUCUUAGUGAUCUGACGGUGCUGAGUGGAAAGGCCGUCACUCAACGGAUAAAAGUUACUCUAGGAUAACAGGCUGAUCUCCCCCAAGAGUUCACAUCGACGGGGAGGUAUGGCACCUCGAUGUCGGCUCAUCGCAUCCUGGGGCGGUAGUACGUCCCAAGGGUUGGGCUGUUCGCCCAUGAAAGCGGUACGCGAGCUGGGUUCAGAACGUCGUGAGACAGUUCGGUCCAUAUCCGGUGUAGGCGUUAGAAUAUUGAGAGGAGCCUUCUUUAGUACGAGAGGACCGAGAAGGACAUACCUCUGGUGUACCAGUUAUCGUGCCAACGGUAAACGCUGGGUAGCUAUGUGUGGAGUGGAUAACCGCUGAAAGCAUCUAAGUGGGAAGCCCACCUCAAGAUAAGUAUUCUCA
rnacentral:rRNA from 1 species